AUGGGGAGCAUCUUCUCAUUCUUGUCUGACCCCAAACUUCAGGAAGGCACAGACAAGGCCACAGAAACAGAGUGGAACUGCCCCAUCUGCCGUGAUACUCGAGAUGACCUUGCUUAUGUAAUGCCCUGUCUCCACCAGUUCUGCCUGGGCUGCAUUAUGCGUUGGGCAGAGAUGCAAAUAGUGUGCCCACUCUGCAGAGACCUGAUAGAGUCUGUAAGGUUUUCUGUGCAGACAGAUAGCUAUAUAGACUGUGUCUUCACAGCCCCCGAAGAUGCCAGCAGCUGGGCAGGAAUAACUCUUGGACAGCUAGUUAGAAACAACCCCUAUCACUUUGCAGCAUCCCCUUCACGUUCUCCACGGGGGAUAUUGCCAGCAGCUGAGCCAGGGGGUGCAGGAACAGAGCCCGUGGGUGGACUCAUGCCUAGGGUGUGGGCAGAACUUUUCCGAAGAGACGAACAUCUCCUUGAUCCUGUGGUGCCCUGGCUGCGGCAGGAGCUGGAGGCAAUAUAUGGAACCAGGUGGUGGAUGGCGAGGAUUGCAGAGAGCAUCAUCCUGCAUGCUGUGUCCAUCUGUGGUCCAGCUGCGAAUGUCUUGGUCCAGGUGCUGCAGGACUUCCUCGAGGAACAUACAGAACCUCUGAUCCAUGGCACCAUCAGCAUCAUUGUUGACCAGUGCAGUGAGGAGGCUCACAGGCUGCUGCACUCCCCUGCUGUCCCAGAGGACGACAGCAGCUCUGUGGCCACCGCCAGCAGCACCCAGCGCGGUACUCCCGCCCCCCAUUCCACCCCUGCCAGAAGCUCUACGAGCUCCAGCACAACGCAACCUGCCCUCGGCAGCCCCCACGCGUCUGCUCCCGUCCCUGCAGACCAGGAAGAACUGCAGGAGGCGGGGAUGGCAGAGGAGGAGGAGCUGGGGGAGGAGGCGAUGACAGAGGAGGAGGAGUUGGGGGAGGGAGAGGAGCUCUGGGAGCAGGAGGAGCUCGGGGAAGAGGCGGGGGAACCUGGCAGGGUGGAGGAAAAUAACCUUGAGGGCAUCCCCGGCAUCCAUCAGGGGGGUAUUCCCGCCCUCCCCCCAGCCCCUGGCAACAGCCCUGUAGGCUCCAACGUAGAGGACCGACUCAGCACAUCGGAAGCUGUGCUCCACAGCCCACACCCCCCUGUUCCCGUUCCUGCAGAGCAGGAGGAGUUGGAGCAGGCAGCAGCGGCAGGUCCCUCUGCCCAAGGCGGCAGCCACAGCCCCUCCGCUCCCAGCCGGGGCCGGGACGGGGACCCUUUCCGCAGGAGGCCUCGGCGUGCCCCAAGGAGGAGAGCUGCCAGGUUCUCGGACUCUCCCCAGCCCUCCAAUAGACCACCCCAUCCGCAGCACUAG
rnacentral:lncRNA from 1 species